rnacentral:rRNA from 1 species
UGGGGAAUAUUGCACAAUGGGCGCAAGCCUGAUGCAGCCAUGCCGCGUGUGUGAAGAAGGCCUUCGGGUUGUAAAGCACUUUCAGCGAGGAGGAAGGUGGUGAGCUUAAUACGCUCAUCAAUUGACGUUACUCGCAGAAGAAGCACCGGCUAACUCCGUGCCAGCAGCCGCGGUAAUACGGAGGGUGCAAGCGUUAAUCGGAAUUACUGGGCGUAAAGCGCACGCAGGCGGUUUGUUAAGUCAGAUGGGAAAUCCCCGGGCUCAACCUGGGAACUGCAUUUGAAACUGGCAAGCUAGAGUCUCGUAGAGGGGGGUAGAAUUCCAGGUGUAGCGGUGAAAUGCGUAGAGAUCUGGAGGAAUACCGGUGGCGAAGGCGGCCCCCUGGACGAAGACUGACGCUCAGGUGCGAAAGCGUGGGGAGCAAACA